UCUAAUAUGGCAGAAUAGUGCAAUGAAUUUAAGCUUCAUUUAUAAAGUAAUAAACUUUUUUUAGAA
rnacentral:tRNA from 1 species